UACGUAGGGUGCGAGCGUUAAUCGGAAUUACUGGGCGUAAAGCGUGCGCAGGCGGUUCUGAAAGUCAGCUGUGAAAGCCCCGGGCUUAACCUGGGAAUUGCGGUUGGAACUACAGGGCUAGAAUCUGGCAGAGGGGGGUGGAAUUCCACGUGUAGCAGUGAAAUGCGUAGAGAUGUGGAGGAACACCGAUGGCGAAGGCAGCCCCCUGGGCUGAGAUUGACGCUCAGGCACGAAAGCGUGGGGAGCAAACAGG
rnacentral:rRNA from 1 species